rnacentral:rRNA from 1 species
AUGGCUCAGGAUGAACGCUAGCUACAGGCUUAACACAUGCAAGUCGAGGGGCAGCAGUGGAGUAGCAAUACUUCAGAUGGCGACCGGCGCACGGGUGAGUAACACGUAUCCAACCUGCCGCUUACUCGGGGAUAGCCUUUACGAAAGAAAGAUUAAUACCCGAUGGUAUAAAGAGUUCGCAUGUUCUCUUUAUUAAAGAAUUUCGGUAAGCGAUGGGGAUGCGUUCCAUUAGAUAGUUGGCGGGGUAACGGCCCACCAAGUCUACGAUGGAUAGGGGUUCUGAGAGGAAGGUCCCCCACAUUGGAACUGAGACACGGUCCAAACUCCUACGGGGGGCAGCAGUGAGGAAUAUUGGUCAAUGGACGAGAGUCUGAACCAGCCAAGUAGCGUGAAGGAUGACUGCCCUAUGGGUUGUAAACUUCUUUUAUAAGGGAAUAAAGUGAGGGACGUGUCCCUUUUUGUAUGUACCUUAUGAAUAAGGAUCGGCUAACUCCGUGCCAGCAGCAGC